UACGUAGGGGGCUAGCGUUGUCCGGAAUCAUUGGGCGUAAAGAGCGUGUAGGCGGUCCGGUAAGUCCGUUGUGAAAGUCAAGGGCUCAACCCUUGAAUGCCGGCGGAUACUGUCGGGCUAGAGUCCGGAAGAGGCGAGUGGAAUUCCUGGUGUAGCGGUGGAAUGCGCAGAUAUCCGGAGGAACACCUAUAGCGAAGGCAGCACGCUGGGACGGUACUGACGCUGAGGAGCGAAAGCGUGGGGAGCGAACAGG
rnacentral:rRNA from 1 species